rnacentral:lncRNA from 1 species
GGAGAGUCCUUAUCUGAUAAAGGCUACAAAGAAUACAGGCUUGGAGAUUACUCUAAUUGGCUGCAGAAACGGGUCAACAGUGACAAGAAUUGGAAUAAGAUUAGGAGUUGUUUGCAAGACAGUAAGAUUUGCCAGAGGCUGCUGGAUGAUGGCUCCUCCACCAGAGUUGAAGAUUUUUACAGGGAACGCCUCUCUGCUCUUCAGGUAAAUACAGCAUACAUAAGUUUUGCAUUAUUUGGUUCUUGGAAAUUCAUUGUAAACAAGAAAACUUAAGAUCCUUCUCUUAAUUAUAUGCAAUAAAUCUAAUUGCUUUUAAAAGUUGAUGGGGGAUCUGAUCUCUUUUUGAGCGAAUAAGGAAUAAAUAUCUCUUUGUUUGACAUAUUCUUAUACCAUAGAGGUUUGGGUCACGACACCACUCACAAACUUUAUUUAUUUAUUAUUUCCUUUGAUACUUCUUCCAACACGUUUCUCACAUGUUCUCCUCAAUUCAUUGUCUUUUAUGAAUUAUUCUUUUCCUUCAAACCUCUGAGUGAGUUAUAGCAAAGUGUUAGUGAUUUGAGCAACAAUAAUAACGAUGAAGAAUAUGAAAUCGACAAAGAAAUGUAAUCUUACCCCUGUUUGAGCCACAUUUUUACCUCAUUAAAAUAAAAAAUAUGAUUAUUAUCCAUCACAUUAAGCCAUUAUUUUUGAAUUUCUAUCUCUGAUAUGAGGUCCAUAACGGCUCUAUUUUUCAUUCUCAUUUUCAUUAUAAUGUGGCUCAAACAGACUCUUAAUGUCAAACAGAACUUCAGUGUACAUAUCUAUUAGUAUACUUCUGAUGGUUCAACUUUUAUAUAAGCUGUGACAAUUAUUUUCUUGUACGUCCAUUCCCUCUCUAAUAUAAUAUUCUAAUCAUGUUCGCUAGUUAGCUGAUCUUGGAUUUGCCAUCCAGUUUCUUUCGUUUUCGUAUUCGAAAACCCAACUUCUCUAUCAAACUUACUAAUACUGCUCUUGUAUCAUUUCUUCAGUCUGGUUGCUGUAAACCAUCAAACGACUGCAACUUCCAGUAUGUUAGCCCGACCAACUGGACUAGGACCUCUCAAUCGUCGUCAACGAAUUCCGACUGCGCUAAGUGGAGCAAUGACCCUAAUGCUUUGUGCUAUAGCUGCCAAUCAUGCAAGGCGGGGUUGCUGGAUAACAUCAAGAGAGACUGGAAGAGGGUGGCCGUCAUCAACAUCAUAUUCCUAGUCUUUCUCAUAAUCGUCUACUCCGUUGGAUGCUGCGCUAUUAGAAACAAUCGGGAGGACAACGGAUGGAAACGAUAUCCUUGAAUGUGUCCAUAAGAUUCUGG